ACUACAUUUUUUUACAGGAUACAUCAAUGUUGCAUUUGUUUUAAUUUAUUUUUAUAAACCGUAAUAGAAACCGCGCGUGCAUUUCGACUUUAUAACUUAUUUAACGAGAAAGGCUGAAUUAUUCUCUUCUAAUAGUGAAUCCAUUUAGCAUUUUAUUAAAUGUUAAAUAUUUGAAUAUGUCAGAUGGUUAUUUUGUUUAAGUGUGCUCCACAGUAUGUUAUUUUCCUUUUGAUCUGUGUAAGCUCAUGGAACGCACCAUAUUUAUCCAUAACAUAAAUUGGGAUUGUCCUGCAUCUAUGAUUAUUUAUUUAUCCAACUUAAUUUUUUUAAAGUGACGACUUAUUGCUAUUGUGAUAUUUUAGUUAAUUUUUGGUGUGUUACUUGCUUUACAAUGCAUAUUUUUAUACUAUUUCAUAUUUUAUUUGUUUAAUAGCAUGUUAAUUCAUAAUUCUUGUCGAUUUCUUGUGGAUUGAGCGAUAGACAGGAAGAAGAAUUUCCGUUUAUCGCCAGGUGAGCCUAAUGGAACGUACCCUGUUUGUCAUUAGCAUAAAUUAACAUCAUGCAUCUAUGGUUAUUUCUUUUGACCACAGCUUUCCCUUAUCUAUGCUAUUAAAAUAAGGUAUAUAGUCUAUGGUUCUAGUUUUUUCUUAUCUAUGCUUUUGAAGUAAAGUGUAAAAUCUAUGCGUUUGCUAUAUCUAUGUUUUUGAUAACUUAUUGUCUUAAAAGUGAUUCAUCGUCUCCAUUUUAACAUUGUUCUCAAUUUUUUGUAAUUUACGCUAAAUGAAAGCAAUGAAGUCGAAAGAUAUCGUUUUUCCUGAAGUUGUUUUCUUCAUCAUAUAACAUUAUACUGUUAAUAUUCAACUGAUGAAUGAGCACUUGAAAAUUUAUUAAUUUAUACUCGCAUUGAAUCAACAAAGUGUUGCCAAAGGAAGGGUUUAUGGUAAUAAACUGAAUAUCCAACAACUGAGGGAGUUGCAGUUAAUUUUAAUGCUUUUGAAACCACCAAUGCUGCUGGAAAUCAAUUUUGAAGUCGCCGAAACAACAAAUUACCUGCAGUGGUAGUGCUCCUGGAGUUAGUUUGCUCAUCACCCUUGUAGAUUCUAGAAUGCAACUUUUUGAAGUUAAUUAAGAUUGGCCAACAAAAGAGAAUUAGGAGUUAAUUUUGACCCUAGCAAUGACCAUAACCAAAGUGUACAUUUAUUCCUUUCUGAAUUUGAUUUGCUUUUUGCAAGUUGGAAGUUUAUUCUCUGCAGCUAAUAAAUGUGAGAACUUAGUAGAAUUAAUAUUAACUGCAUGUUAUUAAUUUGUUGCUUAUUUUCGCAACACAAGACUUCCUGGAACAUUGUGCAUUUGGUAGCAAAUAUAUAUUGCUUCCUUUCGUUAAAAUUGCAAAACUAAAUUUUUUCGCAAAAGACCCAAUUGGCGUUUAUAGCGCCACUACAUGUGUUCAUUCUGUCAUGAAAAUUCAUAGAUAACAAACAAACAUUCAAAAAGAACAUCGAUUAAGAAUUGUAUGAGGAAAUGAGGAAGACUUCUUAUAUUAAAAUUAAAAGUUAACUUACAGCAAUGUUGAUGUUUAAUUUGAAUGUAAAUUAAUUAUAGAGUUGACUUGGUGAUUUGUUUUUCCAUCUAUGCUUUCUUUUUGUUUAUGCUCUAUAGUUUUUCCUUCCCAGUUAUCUAUAUGUCUAUAGUAUUAAUUGAGGUAGUUAUUCACGUAUCUAUGAAAUUUAUGCACCUUGUUCAUGCUUGUUCAUCUAUUAUCUAUGCUUGUUCAUCUUGCCAUUUUGUAAUAAUCUUGUAUUAGAAACGAUGUUACGUCGCCAUUUUUAUAAUCUUGCAAUUGUACUUGCUUUUCGGUGCGUAUUUUCAGUAUAUUUCAUGUUUUUAUUCUUAAAUAGUGUAGCUUAUUCAUUUUUCUUUUACAUUUUUACAUAUUGGCGAUAAGAUUAAGAAAUGAAGAGUGGAAAAGUGUUAAUUUUUAAGCUACUGAAAAAGCAAGCUGUCUGCUGUGGUGUUCUACCUGUUAGUUUUUCAUCUUGAAGAAUAUGGCAGUUCAUUAAGGAACAUUUGAAAAACUAAAUUUAGGAGCAUUGGUUGUAUCAGUGUUCAUUAGCUCCAGAAAGUAGAUGUACCUACGGUCCUAAAGCUUGAAGGUGCCUUUUUCUCAUUGGGAGUGGAGACGGUAUGCUGUUGGUUAAGGAAGGAUUUAAGACAAUGAACUGAGUAUCCAACAAAUGAGGGAAUUGCAGUUAAUAUCCAUGCUACUGAACAACCAAUGUUUUUGAAGUCUUCACCUUGCAACAUUGUGCAGUUAGUCUUUAAUUUUGGCCAAGUGAAGGGGGAGGCCAUUGGAAAUUAGUAUUGAAGUCACUGAAACAAAUUGUCUGCAGUGGUAUCCUUCCUGAAUUUGGUCUGCUCAUCGCAUUGGUAGACUCUAGAAUGCUACGUUCCUGGAGUUGGUUUACUUUCCACACCUGUAAACUUUGGAAUGUUACAUUCUACAAUUAAUUAAGAUCGACGUUGGAGAAGACAAAGAUGACCCCGUAGUUGAAA